rnacentral:snRNA from 1 species
GUGCUCGCUUCAGCAGCAUGCAUACUGAAAUUGGAAUGAUACAGAGAAGAUUAGCAUGGCCUCUGUGCAAGGAUGACAUGUAAAUUCAUGAAGCAUUCCAUAUUUUU